GACCGUUACUUUCGCGUAGGCCUCCUUCUCGGUCGAAGAAGUAAUAAACGGAAUACGGCAACCCAUGGAUCUCAUUCGGCCGGCGAGAGCGAUCAGGUCAUCCUGACCAGCAAACAAAGGAUCAUCAUCCCCAGAAGCAAGACCUCUGAUGGUCGAUUCUCGUCUAGGACAAGACGGAUAGGGUAAGACCACCUUCGAAGAUCGACAUCGCUUACGGGACGCGCCGACGACUUCGUCUUCCGAGCCGGGGCUCAACGAGACAGGAGAUCUUCGUUCCUCAGGACCGUCUUCAUCAUCGGGAUCCCGAAUUGAAAUCAAGGGAGAUCCGUUAGAUGCUCUACUCCUCGAC
rnacentral:lncRNA from 1 species